AGAGUUUGAUCAUGGCUCAGGAUGAACGCUAGCGGCAGGCUUAACACAUGCAAGUCGAGGGGCAGCGCGAGGUAGCAAUACCUUGGCGGCGACCGGCGCACGGGUGCGUAACGCGUAUGCAACCUACCCACUACAGGGGGAUAACGGAGGGAAACUUCCACUAAUAUCCCAUGGUGUUGUUUUCCCGCAUGGGGAGACAACUAAAGCUUCGGUGGUAGUGGAUGGGCAUGCGUGACAUUAGGUAGUUGGCGGGGCAACGGCCCACCAAGCCGACGAUGUCUAGGGGAGCUGAGAGGCUUAUCCCCCACACUGGUACUGAGACACGGACCAGACUCCUACGGGAGGCAGCAGUGAGGAAUAUUGGUCAAUGGACGGAAGUCUGAACCAGCCAUGCCGCGUGGAGGAAGAAGGUCCUAUGGGUUGUAAACUCCUUUUGUUCCAGAGUAAUAAGGGCUUUGCGAAGUCCGAUGAGAGUAUGGGACGAAUAAGCAUCGGCUAACUCCGUGCCAGCAGCCGCGGUAAUACGGAGGAUGCAAGCGUUAUCCGGAUUUAUUGGGUUUAAAGGGAGCGCAGGCUGAUGAUUAAGCGUGACGUGAAAUGUAGCCGCUCAACGGCUGAACUGCGUCGCGAACUGGUUAUCUUGAGUGAGUUCGAUGUUGGCGGAAUUCGUGGUGUAGCGGUGAAAUGCAUAGAUAUCACGAAGAACYCYGAUUGCGAAGGCAGCCUGCCGGGGUGCUACCGACGCUCAUGCUCGAAGGCGCGGGUAUCAAACAGGAUUAGAUACCCUGGUAGUCCGCGCAGUAAACGAUGGAUGCCCGCGGUGCGGCCUAUAUGGUUACGCCGCCAAGCGAAAGCGUUAAGCAUCCCACCUGGGGAGUACGCCGGCAACGGUGAAACUCAAAGGAAUUGACGGGGGCCCGCACAAGCGGAGGAACAUGUGGUUUAAUUCGAUGAUACGCGAGGAACCUUACCCGGGCUUGAAAUGCGACUGACGGGGGGCAGAGACGCCCUCCUCCUUCGGGCAGUCGUGUAGGUGCUGCAUGGUUGUCGUCAGCUCGUGCCGUGAGGUGUCGGCUCAAGUGCCAUAACGAGCGCAACCCCUGUCAGCAGUUGCGAGCGGGUUAAGCCGCGCACUCUGCUGAUACUGCCGCCGCAAGGCGUGAGGAAGGUGGGGAUGACGUCAAAUCAGCACGGCCCUUACGUCCGGGGCCACACACGUGUUACAAUGGGGGCACAGCAAGCUGGAUCGCGGCGACGCGUUCCGAAUCCUGAAAUCCCCUCCCAGUUCGGACUGGAGUCUGCAACCCGACUCCACGAAGCUGGAUUCGCUAGUAAUCGCGCAUCAGCCAUGGCGCGGUGAAUACGUUCCCGGGCCUUGUACACACCGCCCGUCAAGCCAUGAAAGCCGGGGGCGCCUGAAGUCCGUAGCCGCAAGGCGCGGCCCAGGGCGAUACUGGUGAUUGGGGCUAAGUCGUAACAAGGUAACCGUA
rnacentral:rRNA from 1 species